GCAUCGAUGAAGAACGCAGCGAAAUGCGAUAAGUAAUGUGAAUUGCAGAAUUCAGUGAAUCAUCGAAUCUUUGAACGCACAUUGCGCCUUCUGGUAUUCCGGGAGGCAUGCCUGUUCGAGCGUCAUGAAAAGCAUCCUCAAGCAAACUUUUGCUUGGUUGUGGAAGAAGAUGGCUCCCAUCUCUUCUGGAAACCCUCAGCAGAAGGCCUUGCAACCUCCAGUGUGAUAAAACCUAUUCACUUGAUGGUUACAAAGUUUUCUGGCUGUACAGAAAGCCCCCCCAGCAUUUUCUACAUGUUUGACCUCGGAUCAGGUAGGGAUACCCGCUGAACUUAAGCAUAUCAAUAAGCGGAGGAAAAGAAACCAACCGGGAUUGCCUUAGUAACUGCGAGUGAAGCGGCAAAAGCUCAAAUUUGAAAUCCAGUACCCUUGGGUGCUCGAGUUGUAAUUUGGAGAGGCAACUUCGGAGAGGGCGUUGGCCUAAGUUCCUUGGAACAGGACGUCACAGAGGGUGAGAAUCCCGUGCUUGGCCGACUGUCCCUCUUCAUGUGAAGUGUCUUCGACGAGUCGAGUUGUUUGGGAAUGCAGCUCAAAAUGGGUGGUAAACUCCAUCUAAGGCUAAAUAUUGGCGAGAGACCGAUAGCGCACAAGUAGAGUGAUCGAAAGAUGAAAAGCACUUUGAAAAGAGAGUUAAAAAGUACGUGAAAUUGUUGAAAGGGAAGCGCUUGAGACCAGACUCAGUGCUAGGUGAUCAGCGGUACUUUUGUGCCGUGCACUUGCCUUUUACUGGGCCAGCAUCAGUUACAGCGGUGGGAUAAAGAUUCAGGGAAUGUGGCUCCCUUCGGGGAGUGUUAUAGCCCUGGAUGUAAUGCCACCUGUUGUGACUGAGGACCGC
rnacentral:rRNA from 1 species